AUGCAGUCUAAUCGCUGGGUCUGUUUUAAUAUUGGUCAUUUCGCAGCCCGGUUUCCACUUCCGGUGACAUGCGCAGUGCGUCUGACGAUUACAGUGAUUUCAGCAUCUCUGCAAUGUGAUGAAAGGACUAAAUUGCCAGAAGAGAGAGCGUUUGAAGAGAACAGCACGACUCCACAAACAGAUGAGUCGGAGUAUGAGGCUGCUCAUGUGAAAGAUGGAGAGACAAAGGCAGUGACAGACACUACAGAGCAAAGCUUGCUUGAGAAGGAAGAUAGUCAUGAUGGUGAGAGAGAGGCGCUGACAGAUGCUACAGGCGCGAACACCGGAAGUGACGCGCCCAUAGAUUCAGACUCUGGGGACGACACCUCUCAACAGAACACAGAACACAGUGAGCAUGUGGAAGAGAAUGUGAAAAGUUCUGGUGAGUUGUUAAUCCAGCAAAUAAAAUCAAGAAUUGUAUAUAAAAAAAAUAAUAAUAAUUUAUGUUAA
rnacentral:lncRNA from 12 species